AGGACGAACGCUGGCGGCGUGCUUAACACAUGCAAGUCGAACGGAAAGGCCCGCUUGCGGGUACUCGAGUGGCGAACGGGUGAGUAACACGUGGGUAACCUGCCCUCAGCUUUGGGAUAACCCCCGGAAACGGGUGCUAAUACCGAAUAUUGACCUCCUACCGCAUGGCGGGUGGUUGAAAGUUUUUCGGCUGAGGAUGGGCCCGCGGCCUAUCAGCUUGUUGGUGGGGUGAAGGCCUACCAAGGCGACGACGGGUAG
rnacentral:rRNA from 1 species